ACACGUGCCAGGGCUCUGGGCAGGUAGGACGCUGCCCAGGCCCUGGACAGAAACCACACCCACUGCUUCCUCAUGCCCACCAGCACAUCUGCCAGAAUCCCCCAUCCUGGAGGGCACAUCGCUCUCUGAUUCUACUUAGGCCAAAUCCCUUACUUGCCCAGAGGCUCUGAAGUUCAAAAGGAAAAGUGCACUUCUACGCCAGAUGACCCAGUUCAGAAAGAGCUGAGAAAAAGCCAAAGCCACAUUUUAACUGGACAAGUAAGAAAAAAUAAAGCCCCAAGCAAAAAAAUUGUCAUCUUAUUUCAUAGGAAGGUACACGGUCUUGCUGUCAAUCAAAGCUAUGAUCACAUACCCAUUAAAAAACAACCGAAGUGAAACGGAGGUCCCAGGACAUGUUCUUGUGGCUGAUACCUAUCUUCUGUGGUUUGGUCCUUCUGGAAAGCUAUUUGGCACAGCAUAGCGAUUAAAAAAAUAUCUUUCAGUCCACUUUUAGAAAAAGCUGAAAGGGCUUCUUUACAAAUGGUAAAGAGCUAUACAAUUUUAUUAAUUCCCAUAGACAUGUUAACCCAAGGUACUACCUCUCCCUAUCCCACUCUCACCCAGCAUUUUUUUUUCUUAAACCAUUCCUUGAAAAUGGUCACAAAUGGUAGAAUAUAUGAUCACAAAAAAAAAAGUGUGUGUAUGUAUGUAGUGUG